GAUGAACGCUGGCGGCGUGCCUAAUACAUGCAAGUCGAGCGAACGGACGAUAAGCUUGCUUUUCUGAUGUUAGCGGCGGACGGGUGAGUAACACGUGGAUAACCUACCUAUAAGUCUGGGAUAACUUCGGGAAACCGGAUCUAAUACCGGAUAAUAUUUUGAACCGCAUGGUUCAAAAGUUAAUGACGGUCUUGCUGUCACUUAUAGAUGGUUCCGCGCUGCAUUAGCUAGUUGGUAAGGUAACGGCUUACCAAGGCAACGAUGCGUAGCCGACCUGAGAGGAUGAUCGGCCACACUGGAACUGAGACACGGUCCAGACUCCUACGGGAGGCAGCAGUAGGGAAUCUUCGGCAAUGGGCGAAAGCCUGACGGAGCAACGCCGCGUGAGUGAUGAAGGUCUUCGGAUCGUAAAACUCUGUUAUUAGGGAAGAACAUAUGUGUAAGUAAAUGUGGACAUCUUGACGGUACCUAAUCAGAAAGCCACGGCUAACUACGUG
rnacentral:rRNA from 1 species